CUGUCUAGAUUAUCAGAAGCAAGCAAAACCAAUGAAAUUCCAAGUGGCUGGUGUGCUCCAUCAAUUCCUGCAAGCCCCACCAAAGGCAACCUAGGAAUUCCAGAUAAAUAGAACAGAUGAUGACUUGCUAGAAAUGCAUAGGAAACAAAAUAUUCACAGAACUAAACAGAAGCCUUCGACUGGAAGAAAUGAAGGAACUGAGGCAGUAAAAUAAACAGAAACUCGCCUUGGGCCUCCCAAAUCCUCCCAGUCCCACCUUUUCCUCGUGAGCCUCAGAUUCCUGUGCAGAGCAGCCUCACCAAUAUGUUGUGCCAUUUCCUAUUCCUGGAAAAGCCCUGGAGACUGCAAGGGUGGUGUCUCACUAUGUUGCCCAGACUGUUUUCUAACCCUGGCCUCAAGCAAAUUUCCCACCUCCUUCUCCCAAAAUGCUGGGAUUACAAGUGUGAGCCAUGGUACCCAGCCUACUUAGGAGGACAUUUACUAUUCACUUACUGAUUUGCAUCAAAUUAUCGAUUGGUGGUGUUUCAGAAGGUGGAAGCUCUGCCAGCCCCACAUACAGCCUGAGUGAGACAUGCCCUUCAUUUGUUAAGCAGCUGAGGGUUUGUAACUGCUUGUGACUACGGCAUGUCCGAGAAUGUUUUGUCUGACGCACGACAAUGAGUGAAUAUAUAAUGAUUCAACAAGAGCCAUAGAGUUUUAAAAUGUGUUAUAUUUUAUAGGAAAUACAGUUACUUAGACUUAUAAAAACAAGAUAUUCUCAGAA